UUUCCGUAGGUGAACCUGCGGAAGGAUCAUUAAAAAAUGUGGUACCGAUUGUUGGUACUAAUUAAUCAUCCUACCCUUUGUGAAUUUGUUUGUAACGAAUUUUUUUAAAUGGUCUUUCCCUAAGUUGGAUUGUAGUAAAUACAAAAAAGACUUAGGGGAAUGACUUUUUUAAAAGACUUUUUUUUAAAUUAAAACUUUUUGUAUUCAUUUGUCUAAAAUUUAUUUUAUAAUAUAAAACAACUUUUGACAAUGGAUCUCUUGGUUCUCGCAACGAUGAAGAACGCAGCAAAAUGCGAUAAGUAGUGUGAAUUGCAGAAUACGUGAAUCAUCGAAUCUUCGAACGCAUAUUGCACUUUUUUAGUUUACUAAAAAGUAUGUCUGUUUGAGUAUCAGUAAAAUAUUCUCACAAAAACAAUUUGUUUUUUGUGGUUAUGAGUGUUUUACAACGAUAAACAAGUUGUUUCACUUAAAUUCUUUUUAAUUGAAUUUUACCAAUUCAUAAAUUAAAAUUGGAUAAAAUUUUCCUUUAACGAGGAAUAACCUAAACAAUUUUAAAUUUUAUGGAUUAAUAAACAUUCAUCAAAGGAAUCUAUACAACAAAUAACUUGAUCUCAAAUCAGAUAAGAGUACCGCUGAACUUAAGCAUAUCAAUAAGCGGAGGAAAAGAAACUAACAAGGAUUCCUUAGUAACGGCGAGUGAAGCGGAAGAGCUCAAAUUUGAAAUCUUCAAGGUUUGACCUUGACGAAUUGUAGUUUAUAGAAGUGUUUUCUGUUGGAGUUUGGUAAAAGUUCUUUGGAAUAGGACAUCAUAGAGGUGAGAAUCCCGUAUUUGACCAUGACUUUCCAGCUGUGUGAUACACUUUCAAAGAGUCGGAUUGUUUGGGAAUGCAGCCAAAAUGGGUGGUAAAUUUCAUCUAAAGCUAAAUAUUGGCGAGAGACCGAUAGCGAACAAGUACCGUGAGGGAAAGAUGAAAAGAACUUUGAAAAGAGAGUUAAACAGUACGUGAAAUUGUCAAAAGGGAAGCGUUUGACACCAGUGUUGUUUUCUCGAAAAUCAAUUUAAUGGUUCUUGUUUUUAAGUUAUUGUGACUUUAUCAGCGCAUUUCUUAUUUUACUUGACUCAUUGAAUGCACUUUUCGUUUAACAAGUCAACAUCAAUUUCUUUGGUGGUAAAAAGUUUAAAGGAGGUGGCUUGGACUUCGGUUCAGUGUUUAUAGCCUUUUUUCUAUGCCAUCGGAGAGAUUGAGGUCUGCAGCGUAGAUCCUUCGGGUUAGAUACCUUUGUGCUAAGUUAUAGUUUUUUAUAGACAACUUGUUGACUAUAAUUAACCCUGUAAUUUACUCGCUUAGGCUAUUUUACCUACGCUUAGGAUGUUG
rnacentral:misc_RNA from 1 species